rnacentral:rRNA from 1 species
CACGGGGGGAGCAAGCGUUGUUCGGAAUCACUGGGCGUAAAGGGCGUGUAGGCGGUCAAGUAAGUGGAAUGUGAAAGCCCCCGGCUUACCCGGGGAUCUGCAUCCCAAACUGCUUGGCUUGAGUACGGGAGAGGAUAGGGGAAUUCCUGGUGUAGCGGUGAAAUGCGUAGAUAUCAGGAGGAACACCGGUGGCGAAGGCGCCUAUCUGGAACGGUACUGACGCUGAGACGCGAAAGCGUGGGGAGCGAACAGG